UCAGGCCUAACACAUGCAAGUCGUACGAGAGUUUUUAACUCAAGUGGCGGACGGGUGAGUAACACGUAAGAAUUUGCCUUUAGGAGGGGGAUAACAUCUAGAAAUGGGUGCUAAUACCCCAUAUGCUUUUGAGUGAAAUGGAUUUUUCCGCCUAGAGAGAAGCUUGCGGCUGAUUAGCUUGUUGGUGAGGUAAUGGCUCACCAAGGCGACGAUCAGUAUCUGGUUUGAGAGGACGAUCAGACACACUGGAACUGAGACACGGUCCAGACUCCUACGGGAGGCAGCAGUGGGGAAUUUUCCGCUAUGGGCGAAAGCCUGACGGAGCAAUACCGCGUGAGGGAUGACGGCCUAUGGGUUGUAAACCUCUUUUUUCAGUGAGGAAUCAAUGACGUUAACUGAAGAAUAAGCAUCGGCUAACUCUGUGCCAGCAGCCGCGGUAAGACGGAGGAUGCAAGUGUUAUCCGGAAUCACUGGGCGUAAAGCGUCUGUAGGUGGUCCAAUAAGUCAACUGUUAAAUCUUGAGGCUCAACCUCAAAAUCGCAGUCGAAACUAUUAGACUAGAGUAUAGUAGGGGUAAAGGGAAUUUCCAGUGGAGCGGUGAAAUGCGUAGAGAUUGGAAAGAACACCGAUGGCGAAGGCACUUUACUGGGCUAUUACUAACACUCAGAGACGAAAGCUAGGGUAGCAAAUGGGAUUAGAU
rnacentral:rRNA from 1 species